ACCAGAAUCACCCCCAACCAAAGCAAAAAGGUCUUUUGGGUUCCAUCUACAUAAAAAGAAGAUGAUAAAGCUCUGAUUGGGCUUAUUUCAAAUUGGUGUUUUUGGGGUUAGAAUGCACAUUCACCCAAAAAUCGCAGAGUGACAUGUUUAUUAUCAGACCAAACCAAGCAUAGGUGUUUUGGUUCCAUCUCAAUAGAAAGAGGACGAAUAAGCUUGCAUUGUUCUUUCGGUGUUCAGACCCCACAAAUAGCAAAGCAAAGUGUAAUAAGCCUAAACAAAGCCAAACAGGUUGUUUUGGGUUGCAGCAACAUAGAAAGAAGAAUCUUGGAUUUUGCUUAUUUCGUGUUCUUUGGUGUUAAUGCACAUUGACCCAGAAAUCUCAAAGUGUGUGUAAUGAGACCAAAAUAACACAACACCGUCUUUUCGCUUCCAUACGCGUAGAAAGAAGACAAAUAAGCUUUGAUUGUGCUUAUUUCUAUUCGCAUGGUGUUUUUUGGGUGUGCACCAGAAUCACCCCCAACCAAAGCAAAAAGGUCUUUUGGCUUCCAACUACAUAAAAAGAAGAUGAUAAAGCUCUGAUUGGGCUUAUUUCAAAUUGGUGUUUUUGGGGUUAGAAUGCACAUUCACCCAAAAAUCGCAGAGUGACAUGUUUAUUAUCAGCCCAAACCAAGCAUAGGUGUUUAGGUUCCAUCUCAAUAGAAAGAGGACGAAUGAGCUUGCAUUGUUCUUUCGGUGUUCAGUCCCCCACAAAGAGCAAAGCAAAGUGUAAUAAGCCUAAACAAAGCCAAACAGGUUGUUUUGGGUUGCAGCAACAUAGAAAGAAGAAUCUUGGAUUUUGCUUAUUUCGUGUUCUUUGGUGUUAAUGCACAUUGACCCAGAAAUCGCAAAGUGUGUGUAAUGAGACCAAAAUAACACAACACCGUCUUUUCGCUUCCAUACGCGUAGAAAGAAGACAAAUAAGCUUUGAUUGUGCUUAUUUCUAUUCGCAUGGUGUUUUUUGGGUGUGCACCAGAAUCACCUCCAACCAAAGCAAAAGGUGUUUUGGCUUCCAACUACAUAAAAAGAAGAUAAGAAAGCUCUGAUUGGGCUUAUUUCAAAUUGGUGUUUUUGGGGUUAGAAUGCACAUUCACCCAAAAAUCGCAGAGUGACAUGUUUAUUAUCAGACCAAACCAAGCAUACGUGUUUUGGUUCCAUCUCAAUAGAAAGAGGACGAAUAAGCUUGGAUUGUUCUUUCGGUGUUCAUUCACUCACAAAUAGCAAACCGAAUUGUAAUGAGCAUAAACAAAGCUAAAUAGGUUCUUUUGGGUACCAGCUUGAUAGAACGAAGAAUCUUUGAUUUCGCUUAUUUCAGGUCGUGUUCUUUGGUGUUAAUGCACAUUGACCCAGAAAUCUCAAAGUGUGUGUAAUGAGACCAAAAUAACACAACAUUGUCUUUUCGCUUCCAUAUGCGUAGAAAGAAGACGAAUAAGCUUUGAUUGUGCUUAUUUCUAUUCGCAUGGUGUUUUAUGGGUGUGCACCAGAAUCACCCCCAACCAAAGCAAAAAGGUGUUUUGGGUUCCAGCUACAUAAAAAGAUGAUAAAGCUCUGAUUGGGCUUAUUUGGUGUUUUUGGGGUUAGAAUGCACAUUCACCCAAAAAUCGCAGAGUGACAUUGUCAGGGGUUCAGAGAGAGAGGCACAGGGUAGGCAGGAGAUGGAGAGCGAAGGGGAGGAAUUCCAAGCCAGCGAGGAAGAGGACGACAAUGACUCAAGGGAUUCCAUGAGUCUUUCCAGCGAAUCAGAGAUUUCCCAGAAGGGGGCGCCGGUGGUCAGGGCCAGGGGAGCCCCAGGGGGGAAAUGUCAGGAACAGGGUGCCAGCGGAGGAUCCCAAAGUGGCAGCUGGGCGUCAGGACCAGCCUCCCCACCAAAGUGCAGCGAAGGGGGUGGAGUUUCCAGUGUGUCAGAGGAAGGAGCUCCAGCAGCAGAGAGAGGAGGGGGGUCAGAGCAAGCAGCCCUCCCGGAAAGGGAGGGGAGCAGUGAAGGGAGCAGUGUAUCUGUCAAAAGGAAAGUUAGAGGUUUGGCGCGCGCGCCUAGUUCAAAUGUAGAGGCGCACGGAAGUGCAGGGAGCCCGGAGGAGGGGCCAGGUCCCAAAGCCCGCAGGAGGGGGGAGCAGCAGUCUGAUUCCGCGUCAGAGGAAUCCAGAAAGGGGCAAACCCCAGGGGGCAGAAAGACCCUGCGGAAAAGGAAGGAGAGAAAGAGGUGGAGCAGCGCAAGUCUCUUAAAUUGGUGCAGAGGAGGGACUGACUCAGACGGGACUUCGGCGGUCUAGCGUAAGAGACGUAAGGCUGCGCGCCUAAGAUGUCAAGCAAACCAUGAACUGCAAUAAACACCUUUGUAUUCAAGAAGACGUAGGCGUUGGUCUUUUGUGAGCUAAGACUUGAGGCAGCCUUGACAGACAUGUUUAUUAUCAGCCCAAACCAAGCAUAAGUGUUUUGGUUCCAUCUCAAUAGAAAGAGGACGAAUAAGCUUGCAUUGUUCUUUCGGUGUUCAGUCCCCCACAAAUAGCAAAGCAAAGUGUAAUAAGCCUAAACAAAGCCAAACAGGUUGUUUUGGGUUGCAGCAACAUAGAAAGAUGAAUCUUGGAUUUUGCUUAUUUCCUGUUCUUUGGUGUUAAUACACUGACUCAGAAAUCUCAAAGUGUGUGUAAUGAGACCAAAAUAACACAAUAUUGUCCUUUCGCUGCCAUACGCGUAGAAAGAAGACAAAUUAGCUUUGAUUGUGCUUAUUUCAAUUCGCAUGGGGUUUUAUGGGUGUGCACCAGAAUCACCCCCAACCAAGGCAAAAAGGUCUUUUGGGUUCCAUCUGCACCAGAAUCACCCCAACCAAAGCAAAAAGGUCUUUUGGGUUCCAGCUACAUAAAAAGAAGAAGAUAAAGCUCUGAUUGGGCUUAUUUCAAAUUGGUGUUUUUGGGGUUAGAAUGCACAAUCACCCAAAAAUUGCAGAGUGACAUGUUUAUUAUCAGACCAAACCAAGCAUAGGUGUUUUGGUUCCAUGAAUAGAAAGAGGACG